rnacentral:lncRNA from 1 species
UGUGUAGGAGGAGGAGUAACUUUGUUGCCCAAAGCUUGUUGCACGCUACGGAACUGACUGACGUGCCAUCGACGGAUGCGUUCAUUCAUACAGUAGUAUUUACUCCUGCUGCCGUAGGCGCUGCGCACUAGGGCAAUAGCCGUGGUAGUUUCUUGCGGGAAGCGAACUCGAUACAGCAAAAGAGGCGCUGAACCCACGAGACGAGCCAAAGUUGUUCCAGUAGGAGAUUAAAUUUCUCUAGCUUCCCUAGUGGUGGUAAUACUACUACUACUCUAGUACGUUCUUGCGUGCCUUCUUGCCCAAGAAUCUGUAACACACGUUUGCUUGGUGAUGGUCAGGUUAGCCGGCGACAAAACGUUACCACUGUGUCUGGGUAACGGAACGCUCUGUUUCCAGCUCAAAAAGAAAAGAUGUCAUUCG